CUUGGUCAUUUAGAGGAAGUAAAAGUCGUAACAAGGUCUCCGUUGGUGAACCAGCGGAGGGAUCAUUACCGAGUUUACAACUCCCAAACCCCUGUGAACAUACCAAUUGUUGCCUCGGCGGAUCAGCCCGCUCCCGGUAAAACGGAACGGCCCGCCAGAGGACCCCUAAACUCUGUUUCUAUAUGUAACUUCUGAGUAAAACCAUAAAUAAAUCAAAACUUUCAACAACGGAUCUCCUGGUUCUGGCAUCGAUGAAGAACGCAGCAAAAUGCGAUAAGUAAUGUGAAUUGCAGAAUUCAGUGAAUCAUCGAAUCUUUGAACGCACAUUGCGCCCGCCAGUAUUCUGGCGGGCAUGCCUGUUCGAGCGUCAUUUCAACCCUCAAGCCCCCGGGUUUGGUGUUGGGGAUCGGCGAGCCUCACGGCAAGCCGGCCCCGAAAUACAGUGGCGGUCUCGCUGCAGCUUCCAUUGCGUAGUAGUAAAACCCUCGCAACUGGUACGCGGCGCGGCCAAGCCGUUAAACCCCCAACUUCUGAAUGUUGACCUCGGAUCAGGUAGGAAUACCCGCUGAACUUAAGCAUAUCAAUAAGCGGAGAA
rnacentral:rRNA from 1 species